AAGUCGAACGAAGUAGCAAUACUUAGUGGCAGACGGGUGAGUAACAUGUAGGUAUCUGCCCUUUGGCCUGGAAUAACACGAGGAAACUUGUGCUAAUACCGGAUAAGUCUUUACGGAGAAAGCUUUAUGCACCAUUGGAUGAGCCUGCACUUGAUUAGUUUGUUGGUAGGGUAAUGGCCUACCAAGACUGUGAUCAAUAGCUGAUUUGAGAGGAUGAUCAGCCACAUUGGGACUGAGACACGGCCCAAACUCCUACGGGAGGCAGCAGUGGGGAAUCUUGCACAAUGGAGGAAACUCUGAUGCAGCGAUGCCGCGUGAGUGAAGAAGGCCCUUGGGUUGUAAAGCUCUUUCGUCGGGGAAGAAAAUGACUGUACCCGAAUAAGAAGGUCCGGCUAACUUCGUGCCAGCAGCCGCGGUAAUACGAAGGGACCUAGCGUAGUUCGGAAUUACUGGGCUUAAAGAGUUCGUAGGUGGUUGAAAAAGUUAGUGGUGAAAU
rnacentral:rRNA from 1 species